rnacentral:rRNA from 1 species
CAGAGGGUGCAAGCGUUAAUCGGAUUUACUGGGCGUAAAGGGCGCGUAGGUGGUCGUUUAAGUUGGAUGUGAAAUCCCUGGGCUUAACCUAGGAACUGCAUACAAAACUGAGCGACUAGAGUACUGUAGAGGGUAGUGGAAUUUCCGGUGUAGCGGUGAAAUGCGUAGAGAUCGGAAGGAACACCAGUGGCGAAGGCGGCUACCUGGACAGAUACUGACACUGAGGCGCGAAAGCGUGGGGAGCAAACAGGAUU